CUUUGUUAUUUUUUCUUUAUCUCAUUUAGAAUAGUUUUUUAUCUCUAUUUACAGUGUUAACAUCUGUAGAAAUAAUUACAAGCUUUUUAUCCGAAAUUAUUUUAAACUAUACUUCAAUAUUUUUCAAUUAAUCUAAGUAUUAUAGUAUUUGAAAAAUCAAAGUUUUGUUGUUAUAAAAAAAGGAAGAAUAUUCUUGUAAAUUAGCACAUAUACUUUAUAUUAUUUUCUUAUAUCGAUCGCUAUUGUAACAAAAAUUAACUAUAAUGUAAAACAAACUAUAAUGUAAAAAAAGUUAGAUGCAGAAUGCAUGGAUCUAUUAAAUAAAGGAUGUCUAGAAUUCAUAAAAUCAAAGAAUGUUUUACAUGCUUCAAGUUAUAUUUAAGAGUUUUAGAGUCUAAUUAAUGAAGUCUUCAUUGCAGAUAAGAUCUAUAUGAAGAGAGAGAAAGAGAAAGAGUUUUAGUCUAUCUAUUUAGGUAUUAAACCGCAUAAGUUAUGGCCCCACAUAGUCUAUAUUAGUUACGCGAUUACUUACAAUAUAUCAUUAAAUAUAUAUCUUACCUACUCAACAUUUAGUAUAAUUGAAUAUUUAUUAUAUGAUUUAUAAUUGACAGAUGUCUGACUAAAAAUGCUAAUGUGUUUGAACCACUAGAAACUUUCCUGAUCGCUUUGGCACAAAGUUGUCUAACGGAGAACUCUUACGAUACACACAUAUAAUAUAUAUAUAUAUAUAUGUUCCUAUCUACGUCAGUUCCUGAUAUGUUUCAUAUUUCUUCAUUUUAAAUUAAUUUAUAGAUAACUCUUAUCUUGUUACUGGCAGUACAUUAUUUUCAACAAUAGUAGACUUAUGUAAGGCUAAUGAAUGGUCAAAUUGCUUGAAUUGUAUGUAUAUAUAUAUGUAGAGAGACUUGUAGAAACUAGAAGAAAUGAUAUAUAUGAAGAAACAUCUUUUUUAAAAAUUAUAUUUUAAUCUUUAAAGUUCAAAUUGUUAAAUAUUCGAUAAAGAUUGACAAAUUGAUGAAAACAAUAAUUGAUUACCUUAGUUGUCUCCGUGUAAUUUUGCGUACAUUUUAUAUAUUAUGCUUUAAUUUAAUAAUUGUGCUUCUUUACAAAAGAUUACCUAGUAUGAAAUUUUAUACAAAAAUAUAUCAUUCUUUGAAAAUUUAUUUUAUUUCAAGCAAUAUAUAAGUAUUUGAUAAAAUAUAAAAUUAUCUCUAUGCUGUUUUCAGCAGUUUGUACAAGCUCUCAUUACAUUAUGAUGUAUUAAUCUUAAGUAAUAAUGGCAUAAAUCGCGGAAUACUAUUGUCGUGAUAAAUGUCUGUUGUGCAAAUAAUUAUAUAUACAUGAAAGAGUCUAGGAGAGUCAUCGAUAUCAAAAACUUAUGUGAGAAUUUUACAAACUUUUCCAAAGAUUCUCUUCUUCGAAUAUAUAUAUUUUAAUAAUUAUAGAUAUUAAAUUUGCUAGAUAGAACGAAUUUGAACGUUCGUUUAUGUAUCCAAGAAUCUUUGAAUCCCAUUCGUAAAAUUCUAAAAAAAAGCUAGUGUGCGACCGUAAUUGAAAAAAAGUCUUUUAUAAUAUAUCCGGCCUUAUUUUGGCUCUUAAUUAAAACUGAAAAACGUUCGUGAAACUUUACAUCGCUUCUAGGUCCUUUUUAUUGUUCCUCUUGAUGAUUGGCACCGCCGCCCAGAGCGCGGUGCCCAGGAUCAAGAUGAUUCCGAAGGCCAGAAAGAUGGGCUUAUAGGAAAGCACAUUCUCGAAGAUGACCCCGCAGACGGGCGGGCCUACGAGCUGCAAAACUCCAUUGACGAACAAUGAUAUUCCGUAGGACGAGCUGAGCUUCUCGGUCCCCAGCAUAUCCGCCAGGAUGACCGUCGUGAUGCCGAUGUACAUGCCCGAGGAUAGGCCGAAGAGGGCGCAGAAGAAGGACAGCAUGGUGUAGCUGGUCGCCAUAGGUAGCAACGCCAGGGCGAUGCCGCUGGUGCCGAGUCCCACCACGAAGUAAUAAUAUUUCGGGACAAAAUCGAUGUCGGACAGAGAAGCGCCGCUGAUUCUGCCAACGAGAUCCAACGCGGAGACUAUCGACAGCAGCAGGGCCGACGAGUUCCUGUCGAAACCCUCGGCGAUCGCGUAGGACGGCAGCAGUAUCAUGAAGUUCGUGUUGCUGAUGGCCGACGUGGUGUUGGAGAUCAGAAUUACCAGGUAAAUGGGAUCCCUCAGCACGCUGAAGUCGAAGAAAGGCUGAGUCUUCUCGGACUUCUUCUCGAGCUUCCUCGAAGAUGUCUUCCGCGAAGAUUCCUUCGCGCACUUCUCCACAUUCUGGGAAUUCUCCGCGAUUUUCGAAGACUCGAGCUGUUUGCCGUUCUUUUCGGCAACAACGCUGCCUCGUCGCGAUAAAUUCCGCGUAAAUUCGUCCUCCUUCGGGAGACUCGGACGAGUCGUCAGGCAAAUCUCAUUCUCGACAUCCGCCCGCGAGAUGUCAUCCUGCGCGCGAGAGAUCGCGGAGACGUCGGAAGAUCGUAAUCGAAGAACUGUGUCGGUGCUCCGAUCGUUCUUCUCGGGAUUACACGACGUCUUCUCGCUGAUCGAUUCUAGAACCACAUGGUGCGAGAGAUCCGAAAGCUUAUCGUCAUUAUUGUAAACAGUUUGAAGAUUCGAAUCGUACUUUGAUUCACCCUGUGUCUUUUCAGCCUUCAACAUGCGUUUCCCGUCGAUAGUUUCGUCGAGAGUCAACGCUUCGUUGUCGAUGCCUUCGUCUAGGUAUACGAUUUUCAUGUGCUGCUCGACCGGAUGGUAGAGCAGGCCACAGACUAGGGUAUUCAGCGUGAUAGCACCCAUGAUGAGUACAGCACCUCUGAAAUAUAAUCAGAAAUCUAAUUUAAGUAAGAUUUUUUCUAAGUUACCUGUAUCCGAAGCAGUCCAGGAGAUAUUGCAGGAACGGCGGUAAAACUAUGGUGCCGAUUGCGCUGCCGGAGAUGCAUAAACCGUUUGCCACCCCUCGCAGCUUCUCGAAGUACUGCGUGACGAUGUAAACCGUCGGUGGAAACGAUAAUCCAGCCCCGAUCCCGACCAUAAUUCCAUAACUAAAUAGAAAAGAAGCACGUCAAUCGAGCAGCAUCAUACCUGACGUAAAGAUAAGAGACCGAAUUGGCAAAGUAGCUCAGCAUCAUCCCGCUGGCCGCGAAGGUGCCGCCAAUUAGAGUCACGGUUUUAUAGGAGUACUUGGUCGACAGGAUACUAGAUAAAGGACCUGCAGAAAAUCUGCGAUUAAGAUAUCCUUGCGGAAGCCGGGAUUUACCUAAGGAGCUGUACAGAAAGUAGCAUAACGCCGGCAUCCAAGAGGCCGCCGUGGAAGAGGCCUUGAAGACGUGCAGAAACUCGACGAAGAGGACGCCGAAGGACUUGACGGUGCCCGGGAUGAGGAAGUUGACGAGGAGGGCGGAGAAGAGGACCACCCAGCCCCAUCCGCCGUCCGGCGGGACCAUCUUCGUCUUCCUCGCCUUCCUUCGCGUCGGCAUACUUUUUUCUAUCGCGACGCAAGCGGGAGGUUGCGUGCAGGUUUCCUGCGACUCUCGGCUGCGAACAUUCGAGGGAGAUGUUGUCUCGUUACGCGUGGAUUAUAAUAGACACUUUCUGCCGCGGGCGAAGAUCCUUCCUGCGUCCCUUGAUUCACGAUAUUUGCGAACAAACGAGGGACAAAUCUUUGCCUGGAUCAUCCGAUUUCUUUUCCCCCAGAAGGAUUCUCUUUUCACACUCAGCUGCAUAUACAGCUGAUAAGCCUUUGUGUCUUCACCUGAGCACGCACCGGGAAUACGCACGUACAAUUUUUAUUGGAAUUGUGAGGUAAAACGUGUCCCAUUACUAUUCCGCGAACGGUCGAGGGAAAACUCUUCCAUCUGCGACGAGUUAGAGCUAUUAUUCACGUUUUGCGUUUCUAAUUAUAAACACGUGAGAUAUAUAUAUAUAUAGUUGGGAAACUAUUUCAGUCGCGUCGUAUGAAAGAGAGAGUAUAUUUAAGACUCAUAUUAACAUCAUGAUCGUUUAUACAUCGUAGAACACAUCGCAAUCAUCGGAAAUUCACAGGAUGAAAGUCGUUAAACAAGACUCUCGCAAGACUACCUUCGUUUUAAUAGACUUGUAAUAGAGUUUUAAUGGACCCAUGAGUAUUACUUUGAGAAAAAAAAGAUCUCUCGGAAUUGAUAGUUGAGGUUUGAAAUAAAGAAGAGUAAACCUUUGAUCAGGGAAAGAGAGUAAGAGAUUUUUUUUCUGAAAAUUUUAGACCAACUCUAAUUCUUUCUUGUCCUCUUUUAAAAGCUUAACGCGAAGCUACAAAAAUAUAGCGAACGAUAAAAAUAAAAUACUUAGCGGUAUACUCGCAUUGACGUCUCAGCUCGCGAUUUGUGUCUUUGUCGUAUUAAUUAGCAUCUCGAUGACGAGCGAGUUAUGCUCUAUUCGCGCAUCGGUCGCCAACCAAUCGUUCCUAACAGAUCCGGCUAUCGCGUGGCGCGUAGCUAUUCAUUUAGAAUCACGUGGCUUAUAAUAUGUGGCUUUUAGAUUUGAACCUUUCGUCACGUUUUGCACAUAUCUGCCCGUUAAUUGAAGCCACGAAUCACUGAAAACCGGACUUUGACAGUUUAAUAGAGAGAUUCUAGCGAAAAGCAUUAAUAUUUAUUCAACGCAGACUCGUUACAAGCGUCAUUUUUUUCUUUCGUAAUUAGUUAUACCAAACAUGUGAACUUUACAUUCAAAAUUUAACUGCGAGUGAUGUCUAUGUAGAUAAUUAAUAUCUGAAAAAUGUUUCUUAGACUUCUGUUACACCCUUUCAUGAAGUUUCUGUUAGAAAUUUCAGAGCAGAUCGUUCGCCAGAUUUCUCACUAUUUUAAGACGAAUAGGAUACGUAUUGCAAAAUAUUUUUAUUACAUUCGAGCACCGAUGAGCUCGUAAAUUUGUCAAAGAGACGUCAUCGAGAUAUCUCAAUCGAGUAUAAAAAUAAAAUUGAUUUCAACGCUUCGAGAGGAGGUGCUCGUGUAUUUUCAAGUUCUCUUAAUCACGGGACGGUAAUCUUGCUAAUCGACGCCGCCGAGGGUCAUCAUCUGCAUUUGCAUCUUUUAUUCCGAGGCGAGGCAUCACGUCAGAGUAGUACUGGGCAACGGUGAGAAAAGUCCCGUAAUCGGCCGCGCGGUUACACGGCUAACACUAUGCGACAGGUAGACGCAUCGCUCGCAAACAUCACGCCUAGAUUCUACAUGAAAGGCAAUCUUGUAAACUAAGAAUCAAAAAUUCUCUACGGCUCAUAUAAAACACGAAAAUCUAAGGGUCAAGGAAUUUAACGAUUAACCAAAUGAGCGACAUGAAUAUUUUAGAGAAGCAGAAGAAACCCACUAAUCUAAAAGUCAUUGAUCAAACAAUGGAUUCGACCAGCUUUCAUCCGAGGAAGGCAACGGGAAGCAGGAUGCUCAUCGGACGUUCGCUAUCAUCCUGUGUCAUGGACUAGACUGCACACUGGCACUGGAGAACCCGUUCCUCUCCCUCUUCUUUUUUCCUCAGCUCUUCUCGAACCGGCGCAAGAACACCCGAAGGCUGCCCUCGACUUUUAUCGUGCCAAAUCGGUCACCGCGCCUCGCCAUCGUGAGAUCGGGUGGUGCGAGCACCUUAAGUACGUAAGAAAUAUUGGUGUCCUUUUCGAGCUCUCGACUAUCGGCCUGGGUGGACUCUGGCUGGUUGGCUGACUCUCUGUCUGGUUGGCUGACUGACUCCGGCUAGCUGGCAAUGCCGACUUUUAACUGAACCACCACACGGAAUACUGCUCCCGGUAUACCGCGGAGAGACUACAAGGUGGAGACAGGUCGAGUAGCGUGAUCCAGCGCGCGAGAGGGUGGGAGAUUUCUUCCGCUGCACGCACAACCACCGCUUGCUCGGCUCCCACCAUCGUUAAUGGACAUUAGAUCGCAGAUUACUUUAUGCACACCGCAGAAUAUAGGAUUCCAAGGAUGUAUACCUUCAAAAAUUUCUUCGCUUAAUAAAAGCUGAACAUCAAUCAUCUUCCAAUUCAAAUCCCAAUAUUAUCAGGAAAAUGAAGAGCAUGUAUGAUAUAAUUCUUGUAAGUACCCAGCAAGCAUACAUCAUUUUGACGUUUAAUACCCAAGUAGCAAACUGACGUCAUUCUGUAAGAUUAGCUACAUAUAUAUAAUAAUUAUAAUAAUCAUCAGAAUUAUUAUGAGUAAUACAAUUCUAUCAACAAAUGUCAAACUAGUUAAUGAAGCAAAUUAAGUCUCUUCCAUUUCUAUGUAAUAAUAUUGCAAAAAAUUGUCAUAUUCGCAGCUAGUAAUUUUUAGCUCCAUUAACGAUCUAUCAAUUUAUAUUAUAAUCGCUAUAUUUUAUUCUACUGAUUGUGCGAGCCCUAUAGAAUACACGGGGAGAAUUUCUUUUGCGCUUGUCUUCUCGGACGGUGAAUCCUGAUCUUCCUUUUAGGCAACGACCUUUCUUCUUGCACUUCUCCUUCUUCGAUCUCCUCCUUGCUCGGCGAGUCUGGAUCGUCAUUCUGCAGGUUCGCAUCAUUAGUUUUUAUUUUGCGACUGUACGGUGCUAUUUUUAUCCCACGCAGUUCCUCCUCUUUUCUUCUUCCUCUUCUUCGUCUUCUUCGUCCUUCCUCGCCCGUUCUCGAAGACUACCUGCGCGCACGUAGCGUUAUUAUUAUACGGAACUUGAAUCCAAGAAACACCCGAAGCAGAUCGGGGCGAGGAUCCAAAAGGUUUCUCGAUCGAAGAGUUCAAGGAACUUAACUCGGGGUCGCUUUUCGCGCGAGGACGGCUUUCAUGACGCGGCGCCGCACGUCCAAGCCUAAGCAAAGCACUAACUCGAGAACUGGUUUUGCCGCGGAAUACCCGAGUCGGCGAACAAAGAAGGCGGCAUUGAUUACGAUGUAUCGAGGGACACGAAGAGAGAAGAAGAAAAAACCGCCAAGAUAUUUAUGGUUUUUAUUACGGAUACGACAACGCAUCGGUGGAAGUAAUCGCGUGGCAUCAAUAUUAGCCCCGCGGUCUGGUCAAGAAUAGCCCAGGUGUGGGAAUCCCGUCUGACCACCUUGCGCCCUGAGAUCGGCGGCGUCUAAAUUAGGGUGAAUGUGCCGUUGGAGGUAUCAGUCGAAGAGGCGCAAAAUAUAGCACGUCAAUUAAAAAUUCCAUACAUCGAAUGCAGUGUCAAGUUACGGAUGAAUGUUGAUCAAGCCUUUCAUGAAUUGGUGAGAAUCGUCAGAAAGUUUCAAUUGUCGGAACGACCACCACUGAAACCAAAUUACAAGAAGAAUAAGAAGAAAUGUUGCGUGCUGUAAUAAAGAAAUUAUCUUGACAGAUGAUUUCAUACUAAUUGGAUGGGGGAGUUCUAAUUCCAGUUAGAAAGAAUGGUAAAUUUAAAAUGGCAGAGAGAUAUGAAUUUUUAUAACGUACUUUGUCGACAACUUUUUACACUUUUUACACAUGAUUCAUCAUAUAAUCAAUAUAUAUGUGAACAUUAAAACAAUCGCCAAAUAUCGAAUAUAUACAAGAAAACUUAAGCACAAAAUAAUCAAAUCACAUGUAAGUUGUAAGAUAUUUAAAUUCUUUUAACUUUAUUAUGUUUUUUAAUUAGUAAUUUAUAAAGUUCAAUAGAAAGAGUAUUUUUUCUAUAUAGCAAUUUUUUCAUUGCACAAAUAGAAGCAAUAUCCCAGUGACAAAGAAAAAACUUUUUUAAAUUAAUAGAAACUGUCUACAUUCAACUAUUUUAUAGGUUGCAACAGAUUAAAAUUUUAUUUAUUUUCAUUAUUAUGUGUAGUAACAAAAGUUGAAUUUAUUGGAAACAAUCGUACAUGUCAAAUGUUGUAGAAUCUUUUUAUAAUAUAACUGAAAUUUGUUUAUGUUAGAUCUUAAUAAUUUGAUACAUUUGACAUUAACAAUUUUGUACAUAGUAGUAAAUAUGAUUAUUCUGAAAAAAACAAAGCAACACAAAUUUUAUUCUGUAAUGAUAGAAGUUUCUAAUAUAUGCUUCCAUGACCAAUAUUUGAAAAUAUAUAUGGGAUAUAAAUAUAUAGGAUUCAUACUGAACGUAAGAUAUAUUUUAUACUAAAAUAUAGGAUUUCUUCUUUGAAGUUCUCAUUUUUACGAAAUGCUCUUGUACGAGAUUUGUCGAAACACUUAAUUUCAA